AUCCAUCCCUUCGGGUAUAUAUGAAAAUUGGAACGAUACGAAUAAAAUUAGCUUGACCCCUAGGCAAGAAUAUCACGCACAAAUCCAGAAAUGGUACUAUACACC
rnacentral:snRNA from 1 species